AGAACAAAGAAAGCCAUAUGGGUUUGGAAUGACAUGAUGUGGAGCGCAGGGUUAUGAACACACACGGUGGGAGAGUUUGCACAAGUUCAGUAUCAGGUUCAGAUGAGGAUGAAACUGAUCCAGGAUAUCCCAGCCAAAAGGAUGUGUCUCAUUUUCCAGGGAAUUUCCUCCUCCGUGGAGUGCAAGGAAGAGUGGCGGAGCUAUUUGAUAUGUGUGAUGUAUAGGAUAAAGCAGGCCAGAGGGGGUCAUUCACAAGGCUUACUUUACCAGUGUUUCCAGGAAAUGGACAUGGAUGUAUCCGUCCUGUGAGGCCUCGACAGAGUGACCCAAACAUUAGAACAUGAGAGAUGCCGCCCAGCUCUUAAUGAAUAGGUACUGUGGUUCGCUCUCUUUCUUUUCAAAUACAAAUAGCACACAUACGCACACACAAUGAGGGACUCGGCCCACUCUUGGCACCGUCAGGCCUCAUUGUUGCCAGUCCUGUGGAGGUGGUGCGGUUAGUGGGUGUGGAAGCUAAAUUAGCCUCUACCCCAGGCUGUAGGCCCUCCCGAGGGGGGUCCGCACUGCCCUGUGAGUAAGCUUGUACCGUGCUUGCCCUUGACAUGCCUUCUCCAUGGACGGUGGGACGGAGGAGCGCAGUGCCAGUGAGCUGAAUGGCACAAACCCGUGCCAGAUGGUACCAGCUGCGGCGAAACGCUCUCUGCGGUGGACACCUGUCCACUCCGUGCACCUCCAGGAGCCAUCAGUGCCCGCCCUAAAGAGCCGUCAGCGGGAAAUGAGGCGCUAACCCGGGAGUGAAAAGCCUGCGGGCCCUCGCCGGGUGCAUGCCGAGUCCUCGUCGGGCCACUCUAAUGAGGACGGGAGCCCGAGCCAAGACACGUUUAGCAGCCAUGCUGUUUACUUUAUCAUCAUUACUCAACUUGACCCUGGCCUCCACGUGUCUGCGAUGAUGCCGCGGCCAGGACGUGUCGUUGGGUUGGACAGACAGUCGGCACAUCUGACUCCGGGCCGAGAGACAGAGGGCAUGCUGGGACUGGGCACAGAGUGUUUGUGGAGGCCAUUACUCAAUGAAUGUUGUGUGAGGUUUGUGAACAAUAUCGAAGUUAAACCACAGAUUCUGUCAUUUUUACUAAAUCUGACUUUUUUUUUUUUUUUUUUUUUUAAGAAUAUCCUGGUAAGAAUAUCCAAUAUGAAUAAAGGAGAACUGAGGCUGUCAAGCUCUACAGUUACAAAAAG